GUCAGGAUGGCCGAAGCGGUCCAAGGCCAAGGCGCGUCAGGUCGCAGUCUCCACUGGAGGCGGGGUUCGAAUCCCACUUCUGACA
rnacentral:tRNA from 1 species